ACACAAAAUGGCGCUACAAACCAAGAAAAACAAAGCAGAAGCCUUUCGUUGUGUUGAGGACGACCCAGGAUCAGAGUUUAUGAUAAAAGGUUCUUCUUAAGAGAUCAAACAGUGACCUCUCGUAAUAAAAACACUGAUGCUAUUUUUCUUUGAAAUUAAAGGAGAAAAGAGCCAAACAGAGCUGAAAGAGAGAAAGAAGAAGAGGCCAGAGAGAUUGAGAGAGAGAAAAGAGUAAAGGUUGUUCUGUACAAAUGCACGCGAAAUCUGACAAAGGCCACUUACUUGAGUGCCCCCUUCUCUUC
rnacentral:lncRNA from 1 species